GGGUCAAUUUCGGAUGAAACCUCAUACUGACCUGAAGAGAUAUGAUGACUGAAAAAUCAUGCUCAAUAAGAUUACGCUGAGGCCC
ensembl:snoRNA SNORD115 Small nucleolar RNA SNORD115